rnacentral:tRNA from 1 species
UGAGCCGUUAGUUCAGCGGGAGAAUGCUUCCUUGACAGGGAAGAGGUCACAGGUUCAAAUCCUGUACGGCUCAU